GGAAAGUUUUCCUUCAGGAAUAACAUACAGAGAACUUGUCUUCCUGGAGUGAUUCCUUCUGCUCAUCAAGGACAGCGAACCGUCUGCCAGCGAUCCCAGUUUACUCAUUCUGAAAAAUAACGAGUGUACACGUCGAACUCGCCCAGCAACGAGGACAAAGUUCAUCAGUCUACAUCACGUACUAUCGAUUCACAUAUGAACAUCGUACCAACUAUUCAAGAUAUCAAACAACAACAAGUCUCAAUUAUAUAGUAAUUAAAGCAGUUACAAGUGGUUGAGUCAAGACAGCACGCGUCAGACUGACUUUUUUUUCUUAUCGCGUUAUCAGUGAAAUUACUUCAGACGUAUGAAUUUUCAAAAUUCAUUUCUCCCCUAACGUACGAUUCACAUAUAACUCGCUCGUGUUAUUUAUAGUCAUAUCCACACAUUAUCCCGUCAUAUCCAUACGUCCAGGUAUAACACGACAAGACUUAUCUCGAUUAAUACAUAUAAACUCCGACUAAUUAAUCCAAUUACGAAAACGCAGAAUAUUACUUCGUUAAAUAGAAAUUCGUGCAGCCUAAAAUAAUCCCAUAGGAAUCAGUCUCUAAUCGUAUUCCGAUGAUGUGUACCUGCAUGUAUGAAACUACCACCAAAAGUUAACAUGGAAUUGAUUAGGCACCGAUGUUGAACUACGAUCGGACUUAGUACUUUGAUGGCUGUACGUCAUCGCGUUAUAAUAAGCAUACAUUCAAGCCAGGAAAUCAAUUUGAAUUCAAGAGGCCAACCCCUUACGGUUUACAACGUACAAGAGUCCCUCGAAUAUGAAACUCAUGACGUGAAGCAGUUUUAUGAGUUAAACAAAAACAAACUAAAUGUUCUCGUUAAAAUUGUACUUGUCCACAAGUGAAAUACAUUUUUGAAGGGCCAUGUUCUUAUGACUUUUAAAGUAAAUGUAUUCCCUAGGCAAAAUCUUUUACUCGUGGAACAUGUAUAAAUAUACACAAAAACUUACUUGAAUCCUGUUAAUAAAUAAUGCUCCGAUGUCUUAUA